UAUACAUGCAGUCGAGCGGACCGACGGGAGCUUGCUCCCUUAGGUCAGCGGCGGACGGGUGAGUAACACGUGGGUAACCUGCCUGUAAGACUGGGAUAACUCCGGGAAACCGGGGCUAAUACCGGAUGCUUGAUUGAACCGCAUGGUUCAAUUAUAAAAGGUGGCUUUUAGCUACCACUUACAGAUGGACCCGCGGCGCAUUAGCUAGUUGGUGAGGUAACGGCUCACCAAGGCAACGAUGCGUAGCCGACCUGAGAGGGUGAUCGGCCACACUGGGACUGAGACACGGCCCAGACUCCUACGGGAGGCAGCAGUAGGGAAUCUUCCGCAAUGGACGAAAGUCUGACGGAGCAACGCCGCGUGAGUGAUGAAGGUUUUCGGAUCGUAAAACUCUGUUGUUAGGGAAGAACAAGUACCGUUCGAAUAGGGCGGUACCUUGACGGUACCUAACCAGAAAGCCACGGCUAACUACGUGCCAGCAGCCGCGGUAAUACGUAGGUGGCAAGCGUUGUCCGGAAUUAUUGGGCGUAAAGCGCGCGCAGGCGGUUUCUUAAGUCUGAUGUGAAAGCCCCCGGCUCAACCGGGGAGGGUCAUUGGAAACUGGGGAACUUGAGUGCAGAAGAGGAGAGUGGAAUUCCACGUGUAGCGGUGAAAUGCGUAGAGAUGUGGAGGAACACCAGUGGCGAAGGCGACUCUCUGGUCUGUAACUGACGCUGAGGCGCGAAAGCGUGGGGAGCGAACAGGAUUAGAUACCCUGGUAGUCCACGCCGUAAACGAUGAGUGCUAAGUGUUAGAGGGUUUCCGCCCUUUAGUGCUGCAGCAAACGCAUUAAGCACUCCG
rnacentral:rRNA from 2 species